GAUGAACGCUGGCGGCGUGCCUAAUACAUGCAAGUCGAGCGAACAGAUGAGGAGCUUGCUCCUCUGACGUUAGCGGCGGACGGGUGAGUAACACGUGGAUAACCUACCUAUAAUACUGGGAUAACUUCGGGAAACCGGAGCUAAUACCGGAUAAUAUAUUGAACCGCAUGGUUCAAUAGUGAAAGACGGUUUUGCUGUCACUUAUAGAUGGAUCCGCGCCGCAUUAGCUAGUUGGUAAGGUAACGGCUUACCAAGGCAACGAUGCGUAGCCGACCUGAGAGGGUGAUCGGCCACACUGGAACUGAGACACGGUCCAGGCUCCUACGGGAGGCAGCAGUAGGGAAUCUUCCGCAAUGGGCGAAAGCCUGACGGAGCAACGCCGCGUGAGUGAUGAAGGUCUUCGGAUCGUAAAACUCUGUUAUUAGGGAAGAACAAAUGUGUAAGUAACUAUGCACGUCUUGACGGUACCUAAUCAGAAAGCCACGGCUAACUACGUG
rnacentral:rRNA from 1 species